UACGUAGGCAGCGAGCGUUGUUCGGAGUUACUGGGCGUAAAGAGUGCGUAGGCGGUUUUCUUAAGUUUGGUGUGAAAUCUCCCGGCUUAACUGGGAGGUGCGCCGAAGACUGGAAGGCUUGAGUAUGGGAGAGGUAAGCGGAAUUCCUGGUGUAGCGGUGAAAAUGCGUAGAUAUCAGGAGGAACACCUGCGGUGUAGACGGCUCUCUGGGACGGUACUGACGCUGAGACGCGAAAGCGUGGGGAGCGAACAGG
rnacentral:rRNA from 1 species